AACCUGGUUGAUCCUGCCAGUAGUCAUAUGCUUGUCUCAAAGAUUAAGCCAUGCAUGUCUAAGUAUAAACUUUUAUACGGUUAAACUGCGAAUGGCUCAUUAUAACAGUUAUAGUUUACUUGAUAUGUUUACUAGGGUACCGAGUCCGAAUUCGUAAB
rnacentral:ncRNA from 1 species